UUUUCAACUCUUUUGGGAUGUGACUUAAAAUGGGAUUGCUGGGUCAUAUGAUAAUUCUAUGUUUAAUUUUUUGAGGAACUGCCAAACCAAAAGGUCCUUUUUAAAAGUGAAGAAAAUCUUCUGAAAAGCAUCCCCAGAAGACUUCCUCGACACCUACCUGGCCAGAAUGAUGUCACUUCUCCAUGCCUACAGCAUGGUCUUGGCAAGGAGAGUGAUAUUACCACGACUGGCUUAAACUGAUCAAGACUCAGUUUCUGUACUGGAUUGGCACGCAGUCACCUCUGAAUGACACUGUCGCUUGGAGGAGGGUCAUUUCUAGAAGGUGGUGACACAGCUAGACUGGGAAGCGUCACUGAGGUCCUUCAAGGAGCAAGCGAGGCCAGGCGCAGAUUCCAGGGACGCCUAAAGCACAUCUUUCUCAGCAUUGCCAGAAGAGAAAUCCGUGGUGCAAAUACGGUGUCACGUGACCAUCUGGCUUCGGUUGACUGGACCAGCUACUGUCAUCCAUGCCCAGAAAGUCAUCCACAGGCUGGCCAGAAGCCCAUGAAGUGACCUGGUACAAAAGCUUUGCUCAAAAGGGCAUGCUCUGCCUGAAUGUAGUUUCCUAUAGCUACUGAAACAGAUCACCAGACACUUAGUGGCUUAAAACUGCACAGCUGGCCAGGCUCGGUGGCUCACACCUGUAAUCCCAGUAUUCUCGGAGGCCAAAGUGGGCAGAUCACCUGAGGUCAGGAGUUUGAGACCAGCCUGGCCAACAUGGUGAAACCCCGUCUCUACUAAAAAUACGAAAAAUUAGCCGCGUGUGGUGGUGAGCACCUGUAAUCCCAGAUACUCGGGAGGCUGAGGCAGGAGAAUCACUUGAACCCAAGAGGCAGAAAUUGCAGCGAGCUGAGAUUGAGCCAUUGCACUCCAGCCUGGGCGACAGAGCGAAACUCCAUCUCAAAACAAACAAAAAACCGCAGAAUUUUAUUCUCUCACAGUUCUGGAGGCCAGAAGUCCAAACACAAGGGGUCAGUUGGGCCUCGCUCCCUCUAGAGGCUCUAGGAGAGAAUCAUUUCUUGCCUCUUCCAGCUCCCGGUGGCUCCAGGUUUUUGAAUGGUAGCUGCAUCACUCCCAUCUCUGCCUUUAUCUUCACAUCACCUUCUCUGUGUGUCUCCUCUGUGUGUUUUAUUUCUUUUCUUUUUUGAGACAGAGUCUCGCUCCGUUGCCCAGGCUGGAGUGCGGUGGCUGGAUCUCAGCUCGCUGCAACCUCCACCUUCCGGGUUCAAGCGAUUCUCUUGCCUCAGCCUCCUGAGUAACUGGGAUUACAAGCGCCCGCCACCACACCCAGCUAACUUUUUUAUUUUUAGUAGAGAUGGGGUAUCGUCAUG